rnacentral:rRNA from 1 species
UGGGGAAUGUUGGACAAUGGGGGAAACCCUGAUCCAGCCAUCCCGCGUGUGCGAUGAAGGCCUUCGGGUUGUAAAGCACUUUUGGCAGGAAAGAAACGUCAUGGGUUAAUACCCCGUGAAACUGACGGUACCUGCAGAAUAAGCACCGGCUAACUACGUGCCAGCAGCCGCGGUAAUACGUAGGGUGCAAGCGUUAAUCGGAAUUACUGGGCGUAAAGCGUGCGCAGGCGGUUCGGAAAGAAAGAUGUGAAAUCCCAGAGCUCAACUUUGGAACUGCAUUUUUAACUACCGGGCUAGAGUGUGUCAGAGGGAGGUGGAAUGCCGCGUGUAGCAGUGAAAUGCGUAGAUAUGCGGAGGAACACCGAUGGCGAAGGCAGCCUCCUGGGAUAACACUGACGCUCAUGCACGAAAGCGUGGGGAGCAAACAGG